GAUGAACGCUGGCGGCGUGCCUAAUACAUGCAAGUCGAGCGAACAGACGAGGAGCUUGCUCCUCUGACGUUAGCGGCGGACGGGUGAGUAACACGUGGAUAACCUACCUAUAAGACGGGGAUAACUACGGGAAACCGGAGCUAAUACCGGAUAAUAUAUUGAACCGCAUGGUUCAAUAGUGAAAGACGGUUUUGCUGUCAUGACUAGAUGGAUCCGCGCCGAAUUAGCUAGUUGGUAAGGUAACGGCUUACCAAGGCGACGAUGCGUAGCCGACCUGAGAGGGUGAUCGGCCACACUGGAACUGAGACACGGUCCAGACUCCUACGGGAGGCAGCAGUAGGGAAUCUUCCGCAAUGGGCGAAAGCCUGACGGAGCAACGCCGCGUGAGUGAUGAAGGUCUUCGGAUCGUAAAACUCUGUUAUUAGGGAAGAACAGAUGUGUAAGUAAAUAUGCACGUCUUGACGGUACCUAAUCAGAAAGCCACGGCUAACUACGUG
rnacentral:rRNA from 1 species